UGCGCCGCCUCGCAGCGUGAGUACUUGCCUUUUUAUGUUUGUUUGCAGCAACUAGCGUUCCCUCCCCCCCACCCCCACGCCGACACACACACACCACAUCCCCCUUUCGUCCUCCACUUCAUCACGCGAAGCUUUCCAGUGCAAGCAGCAGCAUCCGUUCUCUGCGCAACGGUUGCUGUUAUACCUCCUGCUGCCACCUUCUCUGUUUCGCUCACCAAUACAGACUCACGCAUCGGAAGGUCCUGCUCACACUGGCACCGAUGCUGCAGCCCUGUGUACCACAGCUGAGCGCCGCCCUCUGUGUGAUGGCGGUUGUCGUUCUGCUGGGCUGUGUGACAGCCCAAGCGCAAGAAAACUGCGGGACUACCGCGUUGUGUAAACCGUAUGAUACAAACGGCCCUGCGUGUGCGCGCAAAAAGCGGAUGAAUCUCCGCUUCAUGUUGCAAACUUCCAGGGAGAACAACUUCACGGUCGGCACCCAGGUACACCAUCUCGCCACCUACAGCUUCUGCCCGAUUGUAGACCAGCUCUCCUCCUUCACGCUGAUAAGCGCACCCUUUAUGGCCAGCUGCUACAUCACCAAGGACGAAACGAGCGGUGCGGUUACGGAUCACCUCUCCAUGGACAUGGGGCCUCGGUAUCUCUCCGUCUACGGCUUUGGUGCCUCGAAUAGCACACUCUAUCCCCAGAAAGGUGUCUCCACAGGUACCGUUCUGAUCGCCGUGAACGGCACUGAUCACACCGGCGUGUCCAACUCCGUCGGCAUUGUGACGAUGCUGUCUCUGGAGAUCGGCCUUCAUAACGGCUUAUUCAACUAUGUCGGGGCCGCCGCGGCAUCCGAGACGACCGUUGCGAAUCCCAACUACGACUCCGUAUUGUGCAAGAACGGCACCGUACCCCCUGCGGGCAUCAAUUAUUGUGAUAAGAAUAUCACCAUUCCGGUGGCGGCGACGGUGGUGCAGCCAGCCAAAGUGGGCUUCGCUCCGACGUGCAACGCCGAAGAUGUUUGCACGUUGGGCGAUCCUAGUGUCUAUACGUGUAUCGGCGAAGUCCCGGGGCAGAAGAACUGCGGCGUCUAUAGGACUGACCCUACUGACAUUCGUAAGUUGCAAAUGACAGUGUGGGUAUCGUACUACGGCACAGACUGGCGGCGGAACGUACUCACAAGUGGCGGCAGAAACCCGCUCAACUACCUUACCUUUGUCAAAGAAAAUGCGCUGCAGACCUUAGCCAACAAGAUCGACUCCCUUUUCCACGGAAACUUCUCUGAUAGAAUCUUAUGAGUGUGCCCCUGUGCGUGUCAGCCGCUGCUGUCCGUGGUGCUACCCACACGCUGAGAGGGGGGUGGGGCGGAAUACGAGGAGGAGGACGGCGAGGUUCAUGGAGAGAAGAGGUACCUCGGUGAGGGACGCGCCCGUUCCCUCACUUACAGCGUGCUGUUCUUUUUCCUUCGUCGUCGUCGUUUUUUUUUCUGUUUCGUGGCGACGGGGAGGGGGGCUCCGUUGUUUUCCCUUGGCACCGGGCACCUCUCUUGCUCUCCCGGCUGAGUUCCUCCUUCGGUGCUAUCCUUGCCGUUGCUGUCUCCCUCCACCGUGUACCCUCGAUGCAAAGCCUCCCACCCCAGCCCCCGUUAUUGUUUGCCAUGUUUUGCUUGUUUUCUGCUGUCUGCGUCUUGCUUCUCUUUUCUCACCCUCUCCGCAUAUUCCUCCCAG
rnacentral:misc_RNA from 1 species